UGCCCUAAAACCAUUAUCAUUAUAAAACAUAAUAUGCAGUAAUUGAAAAAAUAUUUCUUCCUCUGACUCUUAAUAGAACUAUGACAUAAAAAAGGUUCCAAUGCACUGUUUGUCCUUGAAUGAAGGGGGUUCAGAGGGGUCCUGAUCCUGAUCCCGGUCUUAAAAACUUAGAAAAACAUGAAGUCCUGAGGUCCCGAAUUUAAAGAAAUUUAGAUCCUAACAUCACAAAAUUCGAAAAAAGAAUUACCGGUUCCCAAAAGGAUCAAUCCUGAAAUCCCCAGCUUAAAAACACCAGAUCCCUACAUCCAGAAAAAAGGUCCUCCCCUCCCCCCCCCCUCUUGAAUGAAGUUUAUGAUUAGUAGAUAGUGCUUUGGUAUUGGCAUUUAUUAUUAACAGAUCCAUUAGGUUUGAAGAAACAAUAAAGAGUUAUUGUCUAUAAUAGUGACAUUUUUUUUAACUUUUUAAUAUUUUUUUUAUGCCAAUGUUGUUUUUUUAAUUUUGUUAUCAUAGACAGACUGAAAUCUGUACCACAUAUAUUUAUAUUCAACAAAUAAAACCUAUCACUGAGCUUUCUAAUUUGAUUGAUGGUCAGUGACUUUGCAAAAUUAAUUGUUUUUUUUUCUAUGGGAUUUUAAGAAGACAAAACAUGUGCAUGGGGAGUAAUUC
rnacentral:lncRNA from 1 species